rnacentral:misc_RNA from 1 species
UCCGGCUUUCACCGGCUGUCUCUCUAGAGUGCCCAGCUUUACCUGCUGGCAACUAAAAAUAAGGGUUGCGCUCGUUGCGGGACUGAACCCAACAUCUCACGACACGAGCUGACGACAACCAUGCACCACCUGUCUCCUGUGUCCCGAAGGCCUACGCUAUCUCUAACGUGUUCACAGGGAUGUCAAGACCUGGUAAGGUUCUUCGCGUUGCUUCGAAUUAAACCACAUGCUCCACCGCUUGUGCGGGCCCCCGUCAAUUCCUUUGAGUUUCAGCCUUGCGGCCGUACUCCCCAGGCGGAGUGCUUAAUGGGUUUCCUUCGGCACUGGUGGUCGUUGACCUCCAACACCUAGCACUCAUCGUUUACGGCGUGGACUAC